rnacentral:rRNA from 1 species
AAUGGCCUAACGGCUGAACUGGCAACUUGGAGAAGUGGCAAGUCUUAUAAAUUAUAGAAUUUAAGUUAUCUAUAAUUUAUACGAUUCUAUUAGGAUUGAAUGAAGCUUUGUUUAUAUAUUGAUAAUGACAGUAUAUAUAUCGUGUCUUGACUAAUUGCGUGCCAGCAGUCGCGGUAAUACGUAAGAGACUAGUGUUAUUCAUCUUAAUUAGGUUUAAAGGGUACCCAGACGGUCAAUAUAGCUUCUAUAAUGUUAGUACUUGACUAGAGUUUUAUGUAAGAGGACAGUACUUUAGGAGGAGAGAUGAAAUUUUAUGAUACCAAAGGGACUCUGUAAAGGCGAAGGCAGCCCUCUAAGUAAAAACUGACGUUGAAGGACGAAGGCACAGAUAACAAACAGGAUUAGAUACCCAAGUAGUCUUUGCAGUAAAUGAUGAAUGCCAUAGGUCAGAAUAUAGUUAAUAAAAUUAACAGGUAAUACGGAAAACAUGUUAUAUAAUAUUUAACUAACUAAUUUUUGGUCUAUAAAUGAAAGUGUAAGCAUUUCACCUCAAGAGUAAUGUGGCAACGCAGGAACUGAAAUCACUAGACCGUUUCUGACAUCAGUAGUGAAGUAUGUUGUUUAAUUCGAUGAUCCACGAAAAACCUUACCACAAUUUGAAUAUUUUACAGGAGUUGCACGGCUGUUUCCAGUUAAUGUUGUGAAACUAUGGGUUUCCAUGAAAUUAACGUAAUCCCUGGCUUUA